CCUACGGGAGGCAGCAGUAGGGAAUCUUCCGCAAUGGACGAAAGUCUGACGGAGCAACGCCGCGUGAGUGAUGAAGGUAAUCGGAUCGUAAAGCUCUGUUGUUAGGGAAGAACAAGUGCCGUUCAAAUAGGGCGGCACCUUGACGGUACCUAACCAGAUUGCCACGGCUAACUACGUGCCAGCAGCCGCGGUAAU
rnacentral:rRNA from 1 species